UUGAAGUUGUUUGAUGACUCAUGUUUUAUGC
rnacentral:piRNA from 1 species